rnacentral:rRNA from 1 species
GGAUGACACUUUUCGGAGCGUAAACUCCUUUUCUUGGGAAAGAAUUAUGACGGUACCCAAGGAAUAAGCACCGGCUAACUCCGUGCCAGCAGCCGCGGUAAUACGGAGGGUGCAAGCGUUACUCGGAAUCACUGGGCGUAAAGGACGCGUAGGCGGAUUAUCAAGUCUCUUGUGAAAUCUAACGGCUUAACCGUUAAACUGCUUGGGAAACUGAUAAUCUAGAGUAAGGGAGAGGCAGAUGGAAUUCUUGGUGUAGGGGUAAAAUCCGUAGAGAUCAAGAAGAAUACCCAUUGCGAAAGCGAUCUGCUGGAACUUAACUGACGCUAAUGCGUGAAAGCGUGGGGAGCAAACAGGAUUAGAUACCCUGGUAGUCCACGCCCUAAACGAUGUAUACUAGUUGUUGCUUCGCUAGUCGAGGCAGUAAUGCACCUAACGGAUUAAGUAUACCGCCUGGGGAGUACGGUCGCAAGAUUAAAACUCAAAGGAAUAGACGGGGACCCGCACAAGCGGUGGAGCAUGUGGUUUAAUUCGAAGAUACGCGAAGAACCUUACCCGGACUUGAUAUCUAACAAAUCAUCCAGAGAUGGAAGAGUGUCUGCUUGCAGAAAUGUUAAGACAGGUGCUGCACGGCUGUCGUCAGCUCGUGUCGUGAGAUGUUGGGUUAAGUCCCGCAACGAGCGCAACCCACGUCAUUAGUUGCUAACGGUUCGGCCGAGCACUCUAAUGAGACUGCCUUCGCAAGGAGGAGGAAGGUGUGGACGACGUCAAGUCAUCAUGGCCCUUAUGUCCGGGGCGACACACGUGCUACAAUG